AUUGGAGCAAAAGAAUCAGCGGAUGAGCCAGAAACUGCGGGCAAAGCCAGACGGCGCUGCCGUAGGAGAAACCAAAAAUCGCCUCCGAUGAGUCCCUUCCCGAUUCUCAUUUUGUACAAAUUUUUCACCAUUGUAUUCACCAUUUUUUUUCUAUAGUUUGACCGAAGAAAUAGCCCAACCACGAAGGUGAUCUAGCGGAGCCGUCGCACUAAAAAAUUUUACCGCCAGUAAGUUUUUGUUUUUUGA
rnacentral:lncRNA from 1 species